rnacentral:misc_RNA from 1 species
AAAACGCGAAAUGUGUUAUGAAGUGCAGUCUUUGUGAAUCAUGAAUCUUUGAACGCACCUUGCACCGCUUUACGAGCGGUAUGUCUGUUUGAGGGAGGGAAGCGAGUGGAAGAUGUUCUGGGAUGGGGUUUGUGUUACUAGUAAAACUGCCCUCAAAAGGAUGCGCUUGGUGAUGGGAUACUUCUGCAUUACUAAUGACUAGAAAUCUCCUCAAAUCAGACAAGAUGACCCGCUGAACUUAA